rnacentral:rRNA from 1 species
UAGGGAAUCUUCGGCAAUGGACGGAAGUCUGACCGAGCAACGCCGCGUGAGUGAAGAAGGUUUUCGGAUCGUAAAGCUCUGUUGUAAGAGAAGAACGAGUGUGAGAGUGGAAAGUUCACACUGUGACGGUAUCUUACCAGAAAGGGACGGCUAACUACGUGCCAGCAGCCGCGGUAAUACGUAGGUCCCGAGCGUUGUCCGGAUUUAUUGGGCGUAAAGCGAGCGCAGGCGGUUAGAUAAGUCUGAAGUUAAAGGCUGUGGCUUAACCAUAGUAGGCUUUGGAAACUGUUUAACUUGAGUGCAAGAGGGGAGAGUGGAAUUCCAUGUGUAGCGGUGAAAUGCGUAGAUAUAUGGAGGAACACCGGUGGCGAAAGCGGCUCUCUGGCUUGUAACUGACGCUGAGGCUCGAAAGCGUGGGGAGCAAACAGGAUUAGAUACCCUGGUAGUCCACGCUGUAAACGAUGAGUGCUAGGUGUUAGACCCUUUCCGGGGUUUAGUGCCGUAGCUACGCAUUAAGCACUCCGCCUGGGGAGUACGACCGCAAGGUU